rnacentral:tRNA from 1 species
GCCCGUCUACGCCAACGCAGAGCGGCUGGAUUCAAGAUCCAGUGGAUGGCGGUUCAAAUCCGUCGAUGGGUACC